rnacentral:rRNA from 1 species
AUUAGUUGCUAACAGGCAGAGCUGAGCACUCUAAUGGGACUGCCGGUGACAAGCCGGAGGAAGGUGGGAUGACGUCAAAUCAUCAUGCCCUUUAUGACCUGGGCUACACACGUGCUACAAUGGUGGUACAAAGAGAUGCAAUCUCGCAAGAGCAAGCAAACCUCAAAAAGCCAUCCUCAGUUCGGAUUGGAGUCUGCAACUCGACUCCAUGAAGUCGGAAUCGCUAGUAAUCGCGGAUCAGCACGCCGCGGUGAAUACGUUCCCGGGCCUU